rnacentral:rRNA from 1 species
ACACGACUACGAGUUUGAUCAUGGCUCAGAUUGAACGCUGGCGGCAUGCCUUACACAUGCAAGUCGAACGGCAGCACGGGAGCAAUCCUGGUGGCGAGUGGCAGACGGGUGAGUAACGCGUGGGAAUGUACCUUCCAGUUCGGAAUAACCAUUGGAAACGAUGGCUAAUACCGGAUACGUCCGAGAGGAGAAAGCUUUAGUGCUGGAAGAGCAGCCCGCGUAUGAUUAGGUAGUUGGUUAGGUAAAGGCUGACCAAGCCCAUGAUCAUUAGCUGGUUUGAGAGGAUGAUCAGCCACACUGGGACUGAGACACGGCCCAGACUCCUACGGGAGGCAGCAGUGGGGAAUAUUGGACAAUGGGGGAAACCCUGAUCCAGCAAUGCCGCGUGAGUGAUGAAGGCCUUCGGGUUGUAAAGCUCUUUUAUCAGGGACGAUAAUGACGGUACCUGAUGAAUAAGCACCGGCUAACUUCGUG